rnacentral:rRNA from 1 species
UACGUAGGGGGCAAGCGUUGUCCGGAUUCAUUGGGCGUAAAGAGCGUGUAGGCGGCCAGGUAGGUCGGUUGUGAAAACUGGAGGCUCAACCUUCAGAGGUCGACCGAAACCAUCUGGCUAGAGUCCGGGAGAGGAGAGUGGAAUUCCUGGUGUAGCGGUGAAAUGCGCAGAUAUCAGGAGGAACACCGGUGGCGAAGGCGGUUCUCUGGGAAUGACCUGACGCUGAGGAGCGAAAGUGUGGGGAGCGAACAGG